AACGAACGCUGGCGGCGUGCCUCAUACAUGCAAGUCGAACGAGAAAGCCCGGCUUCGGUUGGGUUAGUAAAGUGGCGCACGGGUGCGUAACACGUGAGGAACAUGCCCCUAUAUCGGGGAUAAGCCUGCGAAAGCGGGUCUAAUACCGGAUGUUGUCAUUGGAUCGCAUGGUUCGAUGAUUAAAGGCGGUUGAGUCUAUGCCGUCGUAUAGGGAUUGUCUCGCGGCCCAUUAGCUAGUUGGCGGUGUAAUAGACCACCAAGGCUCCGAUGGGUAGCCGACCUGAGAGGGUGACCGGCCACACUGGGACUGAGAUACGGCCCAGACUCCUACGGGAGGCAGCAGUAGGGAAUAUUGGACAAUGGGGGAAACCCUGAUCCAGCAACGCCGCGUGGAUGAUGAAGCUUUUUGGAGUGUAAAAUCCUGUCAGUGGGGACGAAACGUCCGGGUAGGAAAUGCCCCGGGCCUGACUGUACCCGCAGAGGAAGUUCCGGCCAACUCCGUGCCAGCAGCC
rnacentral:rRNA from 1 species